rnacentral:rRNA from 1 species
GGGUCCGUAGGCGGAUUAAUAAGUCAGUGGUGAAAUCCCAUCGCUUAACGAUGGAACUGCCAUUGAUACUGUUAGUCUUGAAUGAGGGUGCAGUGGUUGGAAUGUGUAGUGUAGCGGUGAAAUGCAUAGAUAUUACACAGAACACCGAUUGCGAAGGCAGAUCACUAACCCUAAAUUGACGCUGAGGGACGAAAGCGUGGGGAGCGAACAGGAUUAGAUACCCUCGGUAG